CCUACGGGUGGCAGCAGUGGGGAAUAUUGCACAAUGGGGGAAACCCUGAUGCAGCGACGCCGCGUGAGUGAUGAAGUCUUUCGGUAUGUAAAGCUCUAUCAGCAGGGAAGAAAAUGACGGUACCUGAUUCAGAAGCCCCGGCUACCUACGUGCCAGCAGCCGCGGUAAUACGUCGGGGGCAAGCGUUAUCCGGAUUUACUGGGUGUUAAGGGGGCGUAGACGGCAGCACAAGUCUGGAGUGAAAUGCCGGGGCUUAACCCCGGAACUGCUGUGGAAACGGUGCAGCGAGAGUGCAGGAGAGGUAAGUGGAAUUCCUAGUGUAGCGGUGAAAUGCGUAGAUAUUAGGAGGAACACCAGUGGCGAAGGCGGCUUACUGGACUGUAACUGACGUUGAGGCUCGAAAGCGUGGGGAGCGAACAGGAUUAGAUACCCUUGUAGUC
rnacentral:rRNA from 1 species